GACGAACGCUGGCGGCGUGCUUAACACAUGCAAGUCGAGCGGGGAACUUCGGUUCCCAGCGGCGGACGGGUGAGUAACACGUGGGUAACCUGCCUUACAGUGGGGAAUAGCCUUCCGAAAGGAAGAUUAAUACCGCAUAAUACUCAGAGAUCACAUGAUUUUUGAGCCAAAGGAUUUAUUCGCUGUAAGAUGGACCCGCGGCGCAUUAGCUUGUUGGUGAGGUAACGGCUCACCAAGGCUUCGAUGCGUAGCCGACCUGAGAGGGUGAUCGGCCACAUUGGAACUGAGACACGGUCCAGACUCCUACGGGAGGCAGCAGUGGGGAAUAUUGCACCAAUGGAGGAAACUCUGAUGCAGCAACGCCGCGUGAGUGAUGAAGGUCUUCGGAUCGUAAAACUCUGUCUUAUGGGACGAUAAUGACGGUACCAUAGGAGGAAGCCACGCUAACUACGUGCCAGCAGCCGCGGUAAUACGUAGGUGGCAAGCGUUGUCCGGAUUUACUGGGCGUAAAGGAUGUGUAGGCGGAUAUUUAAGUGAGAAUGUGAAAUCCCCGGGCUUAACUUGGGGGCUGCAUUUCAAACUGGAUGUCUAGAGUGCAGGAGAGGAAAGCAGAAUUCCCUAGUGUAGCGGUGAAAUGCGUAGAGAUUAGGAAGAAUACCGGUGGCGAAGCGGCUUUCUGGACUGUAACUGACGCUGAGGCAUGAAAGCGU
rnacentral:rRNA from 1 species